UACGUAGGGUGCAAGCGUUGUCCGGAAUUAUUGGGCGUAAAGAGCUCGUAGGUGGCCUGUCGCGUCGGCUGUGAAAACUCGGGGCUCAACUCCGAGCUUGCAGUCGAUACGGGCAGGCUAGAGUUCGGCAGGGGAGACUGGAAUUCCUGGUGUAGCGGUGAAAUGCGCAGAUAUCAGGAGGAACACCGGUGGCGAAGGCGGGUCUCUGGGCCGAUAUUGACGCUGAGGAGCGAAAGCGUGGGGAGCAAACAGG
rnacentral:rRNA from 1 species